rnacentral:rRNA from 1 species
AGAACGAACGCUGGCGGCAUGCCUAACACAUGCAAGUCGAACGUGAUCCAGGCUUCGGCCUGGUGAAAGUGGCAGACGGGUGAGUAACGCGUGGGAACCUGCCCUGUGGUAGGGAAUAACCGUGGGAAACUGCGGCUAAUACCCUAUGAGUCCUUCGGGAGAAAGAUUUAUCGCCAUAGGAGGGGCCCGCGUCGGAUUAGGUAGUUGGUGAGGUAAUGGCUCACCAAGGCGACGAUCAGUAGCUGGUCUGAGAGGAUGAUCAGCCACAUUGGGACUGAGACACGGCCCAAACUCCUACGGGAGGCAGCAGUGGGGAAUAUUGGACAAUGGGGGCAACCCUGAUCCAGCCAUGCCGCGUGAGUGAUGAAGGCCCUAGGGUUGUAAAGCUCUUUUGUGCGGGAAGAUAAUGAUGGUACCGCAAGAAUAAGCCCGGCUAACUUCGUGCCAGCAGCCGC